rnacentral:rRNA from 1 species
GAUGAACGCUCGCGAUAGGCUUAACACAUGCAAGUCGAGGGGCAGCAUGGUCUUAGCUUGCUAAGACUGAUGGCGACCGGCGCACGGGUGCGUAACGCGUAUGCAACUUGCCUCACAGAGGGGGAUAACCCGUCGAAAGACGGACUAAUACCGCGUACACUUGGGAUAGGGCAUCCUGACCCAAGGAAAUGAAAUUCGCUGUGAGAUAGGCAUGCGUCCCAUUAGCUAGUUGGUGAGGUAACGGCUCACCAAGGCGACGAUGGGUAGGGGAACUGAGAGGUUGAAACCCCACACUGGUACUGAGACACGGACCAGACUCCUACGGGAGGCAGCAGUGAGGAAUAUUGGUCAAUGGGCGAGAGCCUGAACCAGCCAAGUCGCGUGAAGGAUGACUGUCUUAUGGAUUGUAAACUUCCUUUAUACGGGAAUAACAAGAGCCACGUGUGGCUCCCUGCAUGUACCGUAUGAAUAAGCAUCGGCUAACUCCGUG